rnacentral:lncRNA from 1 species
AGGUGGUGUCUGCUGAGUUGUCUCCAACAUGAUCAUCAUCCUCAGUGUUUUCUACUUUGUUCCCAAUAUGGGGUACAAAUAAUAGAAUUGGAUCAUCAUGGAGAAGUUGUGUUGUGGUUGUGGAAGAAUCCCUUGAUUUUGGUGAGGUGCAGUAGAAGUAAUUCAUGUCAAAAUCACUUUUUGAUUCUAGGUUUGAUUUUCCCAGGAAAAUCUGAUUCUCAUCACCACCAUCAAGGGAGCCAUCAUCAGAAAGGAGUACCCAAUCGUUACUAUCCAUCUUCUUCAGCAGAUUCUUCUGGAUCUAGAUUCUGGAAGAGGGAUCAAAAUCAAAACAAAGGGUAUGGUUUAAAUAGGAAGAAAGAAAAAAAGAAAAGGUUUUUGAAUACUGAGAGUUAACUCGUUGAAUCAAAGAAGGUGGCUUCUGUUUUGUGGAGUUUUGUGUGGAACUUUGUUACUCCUAAAUCCUAACAAGAGCAUCGAGCCACCAUUAUUAAGGUGGUAUUUUGUUGCUAUUAUAGGCAUGAUGUUAUACCUGGUUUGAGUGAGUGAUUGUGAUCAAUAGUUAUGAGACUAAUCAAUUACUUUACAUGUAACAUAAGCCGUGAUGUUUGUUAUUAAUUAGAAUCUAUCUAUCUAUUAUAAUAUAUAAAUCAUGAAGCACGCGUUCUCGCGUUGACAUCUCAUUCUUUUUAUUCUCACACAAACUUGACAUGUCAGCUUUUAGAGUGAGGUGUCAUGCUCUACCUCUUAGGCCUCUCUAACUUGAACAUCAUUUAAGGUUACCAUUUUGCAAUGGUGGGCAUCAGAAUUUAUUUUGCCCGUUACAGGAAAGGAGUAUGCAGAUUGAAAACUAAGGAUUUCUUUCAUUUAAUAACAUGCAUCUACAGAAAGAAAGAAAAAAACUUAGAAGAAAACUCUUUGGUAAUGGCCUUGGCACAACUUCUAUGCGAUAGUUGUUUGAUUUCCAUCCUCUUAACUAAGAGUUCAAUCUGAUUGUAAAUUUUUUGUGUCUAUUUACAGAUGAUGUAUUGGUUUUCUAAUAAUCUUUACAAGCUCGGGUACAAAUAUAUCAACAUAGGUACCCAAAAACUCUUAUUUUUUGAAGUUUCUUACUUGAAUGACAUUUUAUUUCCCUUUAAUACUUUGCAAAAUAACAUGACUUCACACAUAAAACCUACAUCUGCAGUUUUCCAUUGCCCAACAAUGAAUCAGGUUGAUAAGGGUAUCUGUUAUAUGAUUUUUAUACGUUAAUUUUAUUCCAUUUUCUUCUUGGAGAUCUUGAAGCUCUUGCAUUGAGUUAAGUUUUUCUUCUAAACAUUGUUGUAGGGUAAUUGGUGACAAAGAAAUCCACAUUUCCUUCUAACAUCAAAGCUCUUGUAGUCUUGAUUAUGUUCACAGCAAGGGUCUUAAAUAUGUAGCUAUUUAAUACAGAAAUAUGAAGCGAGAGGUAAUAAACACAAUUUAAAAGAGAAUUUUCUUAUUCAUGAGAGGAUCUCAAUUCCUCAUCAAUAAAGGUAUGCAUUAAAUUCAUAACAUUACUUUUUCUUCUAGACUAUUUCCAAAACUACUCAUGUCAGCAUUUGGUCGAGCAUGCCUAACAUUAUAAGAUUUCUACUUUCCAUACCAUUCUCACGGCACCACCUCACUUUCUUUAUAAAAAAGAACCUUUCAUUUAACAAUUGCUCCAUAACUUGAUGACCAAGAAAACAAACUAAUUAAAAACAAUUGCUCCAUAACUUGGGGCAACUACCAGACAAACUUUUUUUCAUCCUUCAAACCCAAAAGGACAAAAUAAUAUUAAUAAAAGAGCCCCUAAUCUGGGAUUCAAUUUACAAUACACCAUCCAUCAUUUUUUUAUUUACAAAACCAUAUGAUAGACGAUAUAGUAGAAGAUGGUGCCCCUAGCCAUAAGUUGUGGAAUCCAAAUGUUCCAUGAAGGCACGAAAUCAUGUCUCAAAGUGCUUCAUAAUAACCACCAUAGGUUAUGUGAGCUCUGCUAAGUGGAAUACCCCUUGUUGCCGCAAUUGCUUCAUUCAAUUUGGUUGCUUGCUGUACCACUUGCUUAAUCCUCUGCAAUCACAAUUGAGGAUCAUUUCAAUCAUUCAAUAUUCAAGGAUCAGUAGUGCAUGUUUGGUUGCGAGUGUAAGGGUAAAAGCAAUAUAUAUUGCAAAUUCAUUAAGAAUGAUUUUGUGUGUUUGAAUAUCAAUAUCAAUAAUGCAAUGUGAACCCACUUUCAUCUAGAUUCAUGAAAAAGUUUCAAUAAUUUAUUAUCUUAAGAUACAUGCUAACAUUCAUGCGUACUGGAGUCAUCCAAACAUAUCCUUUGAACUAAGAAAAGGCGAACUUUGUGCUAUUAAGCUUCCGCUAUGCUGAUUUAGGGAUGAGUCAGAUCCACUUUGUAGAUCUAAUGCAGUCAUUCUUACCUUGCAUUUCUUUUAGCAAGAGGCUGAUCUCACCGCCACUAAUCAUAAAGUCAUAUGGCAGUAACCUACGUGUCGAGACACUCACAUCCUUUUAACUCGAUGAAAAGUUAAUUAAGUUAAUUGGAAGACAGUAAUAAUCAUUGAAAUUUGGACCUAAUCCACAGUGGACAACAAAAACAACAAAGGCUAAAAGAAGUUAGCUUAAAGAAGUGUGUCCAGUUUUGAUUUUGGUUGUUUAUCUAAACAUCCACAAAAAUAGUGAGUUUGCACACUUAAUGCAAAAUAAACAAAUACCUUUUCUUCCCUCACACCCUAUUUUUAAUGACAUCAUUUAAAUGAUAGGAUUAGGUCUUCCAUCACAAUCUUGUUCUAAAUUAAGCAUAGAACUAACUACAUAUCUAAAUCAAUAUUAACAGAUAAGUUCAAACAAACCCAACAAAAAAUUGAGACAAUUGCUGACCUUGUCAUCAGUGUAGAUCUGGAACUGAAUCUUAUGGUUCUGAUGGAAUUUGUUCUUUUGCUGGCUUCCAAAAACCAGCACACAGAUGGUGGCAGCAGCAACACCAAAAGAACAGAUAGCUCCAACCCCUGUCAAGCUCCACUUCCAGAAAUUGAAACCAUCAGUGGGGUCCACCUCUUCUCUGUCACAGUCCAUGGUAGCCAUUUCAUUCUCAACCUUCCUUCUAGGAGAGACCAUAACCUCCAUAGCCUCACCUUUGUCCUCAAAUUUCAAGGCACCUGCAUCAAGAGGAGGAGGAAACAAUACUCUAGGACUGGAUUUUGGAGAAUCCAUUUUCAUGUCGGCAAAUUUAUUUUCUAACUGCAAGAAAAACUGUGAAACAGAAAGAGUUUCUUGUUCAUCAGCUUCCACAACAACAGCUUUGAUUUUCUCAGAGGUGGUGUCUGAGUUGUCUCCAACAUGAUCAUCCUCAGUGUUUUCUACAAAUUGAAUUGGAUCAUCAUGGAGAAGUUGUGUUGUGGAAGAAUCCCUUGAUUUUGGUGAGGUGCAGUAGAAGUAAUUCAUGUCAAAAUCACUUUUUGAUUCUGGGUUUGAUUUUCCCAGGAAAAUCUGAUUCUCAUCACCACCAUCAAGGGAGCCAUCAUCAGAAAGGAGCACCCAAUCAUUAGUAGUAUCCAUCUUCACCAGAUUC